CUUUAAUGAUAGUCCUACAAGACAGUCUUUAUGACUAAGAACACUUGUUUUGUAAUCUUUCCUCUCUCCCUCCCUCCCUCCUUCCCUUUCUUUCUUUGCCAGGAUUGGAACAAGCAACUCCAUUCUGUUGGAUAAUUUUCACAUUUCUUUCAUAUUAGCACAACAACAGAGGUGACUUUAGGUACCCCAACACUCAAAAAAAAAAAAACCUUAACACUCAAGAAAACUCAGUGGCAUGAGAUGGCAAUCAGCUAUGGAAGUGCAUUUUUAUCUUGAUCCAAUGCAUGUAAUCUUUUAGAACAGAUGGCUCUUCUAUCCUCAUGAGUGCCACAUUAUAAAAAUUAUUUCAGUAGCUACUAAGCAUCCAUAGAAAGAUGAAUUUAUGGUGAUGGGACUGUAUAUUCCUCUAAUAUAAAAACAUAUUUCAAGCAUCCUCAAAUUCAAAAGAAAUAAGGAUUGUCCUUUGAGAGUUUAACUACAACAUCAAGACAGAAUGGAUCUGAACUGAGAUUCUCAGAGGUAACUUAAAGAUUGGUUCUUAAGUCAACCAAAAAGCAUUUAUUGAAUAUGUACAUAUGUGCUAUGGAAAAAUAUAUGAACUUAUAAAAGUAAAAAUAGUAUAAUGAUCCCCAUUUACCAGUCCCUCCAUGUGAGCAAUUAUGAACAUAUACAGAAUAUACUAAUGGGGGAAAAAAAGAAUAUCUUGUUGAGAAAGGGGUUGAACACAAGAGGCCUAAAUUCAGAUCCCCCCCCCCCCCAGUAACCUUAAUGUCCUACUAACUUAUGCUACAAACUUCUGAACC
rnacentral:lncRNA from 1 species